CUAUUAUCCCUGGGCAGGACUGCUGGAUUAUAUAUGUAGAUGCAUUGGUAUUAGAAUAUAGUGGUGGUGUCUUAGAUUGUCUUUCUAUUGCAGUCAAAGGAGCUCUAGCAAACACUAAGAUCCCUAAGCUAACUGUUAUUGGAGAAGGAGAGGAACAAGAGAUAGAAAUAUCAGACAAUCCUUUUGACUCUACUUCAAUAGAUACAAAUAAUGUACCAGUAUUUGUCAGCUUAUCACUAAUAGGUAAUCAGUUCAUAGUGGAUGCUAGUCAUGAAGAGGAGGCCUGCUCUCUCUGUCAGUUAUCAGUUGGAGUCAACCACAAAGGAAGUAUAUGUAGUAUUUUAAAAGAAGGAGCUGGGAGCUUCAAGCAUAAACAAUACAAUGAAGCAAUAUCAUUGGCCAGUGAAAUUGGAGUUUCAGUCAUAGAGAAAAUAACACUCACAAGCAAUACUGCACCUGAAAAGAUGCUAUGAUAGUAAUUU